UUCCCUGUAACAGUCCAGUGAGGUCAUUGCUCAGAGCCAUUGAACAUCCGGGUUCAUUAUGCAGAUAUUGUAUACUGAAAACCCACAGAUUAUCCAGUGACCUGGUGAAACCUCCCAACCCCAACAGGUCCAACCCUCUCAUCUUCUCAGCAUCUCUUAAUAAGAGAACGACAGGGUCACGCCAAUGUUCUUUGCAAUCUGGGAUGGGGACACUGCGGCGAGGUUGGAAUGGAGAGCUCUUGGAGUGGGGGGGCCUUCCGCGGGAGGAAGAGUAGCUCUGUCUUUGAGGUGACAGAAUGACCGACCCAAGAAAACAGGAAGCAGCAGGAAAUCCCGCCAUCUCCGCUGAGGGAUCAAAGCUCCACCAGCACGACUCGUGCCUGGAGUGCCUCGUGACUGCCAUGGAUGAGGUGCUCUGGGCCGUACGCCAACUGCGAGCUACACCACCCACCACCUUCCCAGCUCCCCACAGAUGUUCCAGCCACCCCACCACCAUCUACAUCACCCGGUCCGAUCAGCAAAGUCCACCUGCCCCUCCCGGAGCGGUUUGACGAACCCUAGCUCAUUUAGGGGUUUCUCCUGCGGUGUGACCUCCAUCUGGCCUGUCAUGCCGGGGUAGCCUCCGAGAUGGACAAGGUGGCCUUGGUGAUCUCGGUGCUGACAGGCCGGGCUCUGGCGCACGCCGUCUGGGAGAGGGAUGGACCAGAAGUGCAGUCCUAUGAGCGCUUCACCCAACUCUUCCGUGCCGUCUUAGACCACCCUACAGAGGGUCGAUAGGGAGGUGAGCAUCUCCACCGUCUACGCCAGGGGUCCAGGACAGCGUCGGAGUACGCUCUGUAUUUCCGGAAGGUUGCUGCGUCCACUGGCUGGAAUGACCAGGCCCUGUUGACGGUUUUCUGCAGCGGGCUACAGACGGACGUCCAGACCGAGCUGGCCUGUCGCAUUGAGGACCUCACGCUGGACCAGCUAUUUGCCAUUGCCAUCAGCCUGGGAAAUCUCCUGCAUGCCCGUCAUUGCCCAUCCCGGGGAUUCGGGUCUCUCCCAGGAACCUCCAGCGAGACUGAGCCCAUGGAGGUAGGCACGACACACCUUCCCCCUGAGGAACGUCAAUGCCGCCGUCAACAGGGUCUCUGCUCCUACUGUGGUGAGUCGGACCACCCCUGGAACACCUGUCUCUGGAGUAAAACCAAGCGAGGAAGCGAAAGGCCGAGGAGCGCUCCUGCACCUUCCCAGGUAGGCAUGGACGUGCCUUGCUCCUCUCUGUCCAUCCAGCCUAUCCUCCUCCCUAUCACCUUCCCUGACUAUCCUGGCCGCCCACUGAGUCCUGCCCUAGUGCACUCAGGUGCUGCAGGCAACUUCCUAGACCGGUCAGUGGCCUUAUCAUUACGCAUUCCUCUAGUCCCUUGACAACCGUCCCCUAUGAACAGGACUGGUGUGCCAGAGCACAAUUCUCAUUUCCCAUGACCGCAUCACUUUCCUCAUCUUAGACUCUCCUGCACACCCCGCAGUUGUAGGUUUCCCCUGGCUACAGUUGCAUAACCCCAGCAUAUCGUGGACAGAGAGGAGGUUGUUGGGUUGGUCGCAGGGGUGUGAAGGGAGGGGUCUCUCGGUGUCAAUCUGUGCCUCCUCCAUGGAAAGUCCGGACCAGGCCACCCACAUCCCUAUCCUGGAGGAGUACCGGGACAUACAGGUAGCCUUUUCAAAGCCUCGUGCCAUGUGCCUGCCCCCACAUCACCCAUGGGACUGCACUAUCAACCUACUGUCUGGUUCUACCCUCCCGCGGGUGCUUAUCUACCCUCUCUUGCAUGCAGAGACCGAAGCCAUGGAGGCCUACGUCCAGGAGGCGCUGGCCCAAGGAUUCAUCCGUCCGUCCAUCUCUCUGGCCACCUCCAGCUUAUUUUUUGUGAAGAAGGAGGGAGGUCUUAGCCCCUGUAUCGAUUACCAGACACGGAAUAAGGCUACUGUUAAAUUCAGUUAUCCCCUGCCUCUCUGAUCAAACAAAUGCAUGGUGCGAAGUACUUUACUAAAUUGGAUUUACGUAGUGCCUACAACCUGGUGUGCAUCAGAGAGGGGGCUGAAUGGAAAAUCGCCUUCAGCACCGGGCACUACGAAUACAGGGUAAAGCCCUAUGGCCUGACAAAUGCACCCUCGGUGUUUCAAUCAUUCAUUAAUGAGGUGUUUAGAGACAUGUCGGGUCACUGUGUAGUGGUGUGCACAGACCACAUCUUAGUGUACUCCACUACACACAAGCAACAUGCAGACCGCGGAGGUUCUCUCUCACGUCUUCCGGCACUACGGGAUCCCGGAGGACAUUGCGUCUGACCGUGGUCCUCAGUUCACCUCCCGUGUCUGGAAGGCCUUUCAUUGAACGACUGGGGGUCACGGUCAGCCUCACCUCUGGGUACCGUCCCCAAUCAAAUGGGCAGGUGGAAAGGGUAAAUCAGGAACUGCGGAGGUACCUUGUACUGUCCCACCAGCCUUUGCUUUUGUUCCCCCUCCUGUCCAGCUCAGGCGUUCGGCAUUGCCGGCCUUCUAGCUGCUGCCGAAUGCCCUUCACUCAUCUACCCUGGAAUUGUCUCAUUACACACACCUGGUUCCAAUCCCCACUCUCACUGUAUAUAUACUCCCUCUGCCAUUUGUCUUUGUCGGUCAUUGUAAAUGAUACUUGUUUUCCUGAGAGGAAUCUCUUCUACUAUUACCUGAGUACUUUAUAUUUUGCACUUUGGGUUCGCCCUGUGCCUUUUUGUUUAUGAAUAUAUAUUUUGAGCACAACAGCGUUUGGGUUUCGUCCCUCGUUGUUCUGUAGUGCUUAAAUAAAUUCAGUAGUUCUAAA